UACGUAGGGUGCAAGCGUUGUCCGGAAUCAUUGGGCGUAAAGAGCGUGUAGGCGGUCCGGUAAGUCGGCUGUGAAAGUCCAAGGCUCAACCUUGGGAUGCCGGUCGAUACUGCCGGACUAGAGUUCGGAAGAGGCAAGUGGAAUUCCCGGUGUAGCGGUGAAAUGCGCAGAUAUCGGGAGGAACACCUAUGGCGAAGGCAGCUCGCUGGGACGUUACUGACGCUGAGACGCGAAAGCGUGGGGAGCAAACAGG
rnacentral:rRNA from 1 species